rnacentral:rRNA from 1 species
AGUGAACGCUGGCGGUAGGCCUAACACAUGCAAGUCGAACGGCAGCACAGUAAGAGCUUGCUCUUACGGGUGGCGAGUGGCGGACGGGUGAGGAAUACAUCGGAAUCUACUUUUUCGUGGGGGAUAACGUAGGGAAACUUACGCUAAUACCGCAUACGACCUACGGGUGAAAGCAGGGGAUCUUCGGACCUUGCGCGAUUGAAUGAGCCGAUGUCGGAUUAGCUAGUUGGCGGGGUAAAGGCCCACCAAGGCGACGAUCCGUAGCUGGUCUGAGAGGAUGAUCAGCCACACUGGAACUGAGACACGGUCCAGACUCCUACGGGAGGCAGCAGUGGGGAAUAUUGGACAAUGGGCGCAAGCCUGAUCCAGCCAUACCGCGUGGGUGAAGAAGGCCUUCGGGUUGUAAAGCCUUUGUUGGGAAAGAAAAGCAGCAGGUUAAUACCCCGCUGUUCUGACGGUACCCAAAGAAUAAGCACCGGCUAACUUCGUG